AGAGUUUGAUCCUGGCUCAGGACGAACGCUGGCGGCGUGCUUAAAACAUGCAAGUCGAACGCGACGACCCUUCGGGGUCCGGGAGUGGCGAACGGCGGAGUAAUACGUAAGCAACGUGCCCUGAAGACUGGGAUAUACCGGGGAAACCCGGCGCAAUACCGGAUGUGGCCACCUCUCGGCAUCGGGAGGUGAUUAAACGGUUUUUCGCUUCAGGAGCGGCUUACGCCAUAUCAGCUUGUUGGUGGGGUAACGGCCUACCAAGGCUUCGACGUGUAACUGGUCUGAGAGGAUGGCCAGUCCGAGUGGGACUGAGACACGGCCCACACACCUACGGGUGGCAGCAGUUAGGAAUAUUGCACAAUGGGGGAAACCCUGAUGCAGCGACGCCGCGUGGAGGAUGACGGAUUUAGGUCUGUAAACUCCUUUUAUCGGGAAAGACUUAGGACGGUACCCGAUGAAUAAGCUCCGGCUAACUACGUGCCAGCAGCCGCGGUAAUACGUAGGGAGCAAGCGUUGUCCGGAUUCACUGGGCGUAAAGGGCGCGUAGGCGGCUCGUUAAGUAUGAAGUGAAAUCUCCAGGGCUCAACCCGGAAACUGCUUUGUAAACUGGCAAGCUAGAGGAAGGCAGAGGUGAAUGGAAUUCCUGGUGUAGCGGUGGCAUGCAUUGAUAUCAGGAGGAACACCAGAGGCGAAGGCGGU
rnacentral:rRNA from 1 species